UUCACAUUUUACCCCUUCCUCAACCUCGUUGUUCGUGUAACCUGCACCUUUUCUCUCUCUCUCUCUCAUCCCUUACACACACACACACACAUUUGUUUAUAUUUAUUUAUUGCAGAUAGGAGUGAGUGUGGAAGAAAAGGGGGGGUGCACUGUUUGGCUGGCACAAAGAGAGAAGAGUAUAAAGACGCUGUCUUACUCAGGAAAUCCUUUUAGACAAAUACUGUUGCUGCUUGCACCACCUCACUUUUCUCUCCUUUCUUCUUACUCUGUAAAAAAAGCCAAACAAGCGCACAACCCUUCAAGCUAUUAGGGCUUUUUCUGCGCUUUCCUACCAGCAAAGUUCUUUUAUAGGUAUGGCUGUGGCAUUUGCUGUUCAGUUUUCUGGGAGCAGAGGGUUUCCUCAAGGUGGGUGGAUGCCUAUGAUUCUUGCACCUAUGCAUGCUUUAUUCCUUGGCCUCGAAGUGGCUGCAAGAUCUCGGGUGUUUGGAGCUGUUCAGCAACUACAUUUGAGUAAAUUGGUUCUUUAGAGCAAGAUGUAGAUCGACAAA